rnacentral:rRNA from 1 species
GUGGCGGACGGGUGAGUAACACGUGGGAACGUGCCUUUUGGUUCGGAAUAACUCAGGGAAACUUGUGCUAAUACCGAAUGUGCCCUUCGGGGGAAAGAUUUAUCGCCAUUAGAGCGGCCCGCGUCUGAUUAGCUAGUUGGUGAGGUAAAGGCUCACCAAGGCGACGAUCAGUAGCUGGUCUGAGAGGAUGAUCAGCCACAUUGGGACUGAGACACGGCCCAAACUCCUACGGGAGGCAGCAGUGGGGAAUCUUGCGCAAUGGGCGAAAGCCUGACGCAGCCAUGCCGCGUGAAUGAUGAAGGUCUUAGGAUUGUAAAAUUCUUUCAGUAGGGACGAUAAUGACGGUACCUACAGAAGAAGCCCCGGCUAACUUCGUGCCAGCAGCCGCGGUAAUACGAAGGGGGCUAGCGUUGCUCGGAAUUACUGGGCGUAAAGGGAGCGUAGGCGGACAUUUAAGUCAGGGGUGAAAUCCCGGGGCUCAACCUCGGAAUUGCCUUUGAUACUGGGUGUCUUGAGUAUGAGAGAGGUAUGUGGAACUCCGAGUGUAGAGGUGAAAUUCGUAGAUAUUCGGAAGAACACCAGUGGCGAAGGCGACAUACUGGCUCAUUACUGACGCUGAGGCUCGAAAGCGUGGGGAGCAAACAGGAUUAGAUACCCUGGUAGUCCACGCCGUAAACGAUGAUUGCUAGUUGUCGGGAUGCAUGCAUUUCG